rnacentral:rRNA from 1 species
GGGCUCACACAAGCGGUGGAGGAUGUGGCUUAAUUCGAGGCUACGCGAAGAACCUUAUCCUAGGCUUGACAUGCAUGGAUACCCUCUUUGAAAGAAGAGUAAGUUGCCCUUGUGGUGAAACUUGCACAGGUGCUGCAUGGCUGUCGUCAGCUCGUGUCGUGAGAUGUCGGGUUAAGUCCCUUAACGAGCGAAACCCCUGUCACCAGUUGCUAUCGAGUGAUGUCGAGGACUCUGGUGAGACUGCCGAAGUUAAUGAGGAGGAAGGUGGGGAUGACGUCAAGUCCUCAUGGCCUUUAUGUCUAGGGCUGCACACGUCCUACAAUGGCAUCCACAAAGGGAAGCGAGACUGUGAAGUGGAGCUAAUCCCAAAAAAGGUGUCUCAGUUCGGAUUGCAGGCUGCAACUCGCCUGCAUGAAGCCGGAAUCGCUAGUAAUCGCGGGUCAUCAUACCGCGGUGAAUAUGUUCCUGAGCCUU